rnacentral:rRNA from 1 species
ACGAACGCUGGCGGCGUGCUUCACCCAUGCAAGUCACACGGAAAGGCCCUGCUUUUGUGGGGUGCUCGAGUGGCGAACGGGUGAGUAACACGUGAGUAACCUGCCCUUGACUUUGGGAUAACUUCAGGAAACUGGGGCUAAUACCGGAUAGGAGCUCCUGCUGCAUGGUGGGGGUUGGAAAGUUUCGGCGGUUGGGGAUGGACUCGCGGCUUAUCAGCUUGUUGGUGGGGUAGUGGCUUACCAAGGCUUUGACGGGUAGCCGGCCUGAGAGGGUGACCGGCCACAUUGGGACUGAGAUACGGCCCAGACUCCUACGGGAGGCAGCAGUGGGGAAUAUUGCACAAUGGGCGGAAGCCUGAUGCAGCAACGCCGCGUGCGGGAUGACGGCCUUCGGGUUGUAAACCGCUUUCGCCUGUGACGAAGCGUGAGUGACGGUAAUGGGUAAAGAAGCACCGGCUAACUACGU